UACGUAGGUGGCAAGCGUUGUCCGGAAUUAUUGGGCGUAAAGCGCGCGCAGGCGGUCCUUUAAGUCUGAUGUGAAAGCCCACGGCUCAACCGUGGAGGGUCAUUGGAAACUGGGGGACUUGAGUGCAGAAGAGGAAAGCGGAAUUCCACGUGUAGCGGUGAAAUGCGUAGAGAUGUGGAGGAACACCAGUGGCGAAGGCGGCUUUCUGGUCUGUAAUUGACGCUGAGGCGCGAAAGCGUGGGGAGCAAACAGG
rnacentral:rRNA from 1 species